GCUAUGACGCAAGUUGAACAUCCAUGCCGCGUGAAGGAUGAAGGCCCUCUGGGUCGUAAACUUCUUUUAUUAGGGAAGAAACCUCAAGAUGCGUCUUGAGCUGACGGUACUUAAUGAAUAAGGAUCGGCUAACUUCGUGCCAGCAGCCGCGGUAAGACGAAGGAUCCAAGCGUUGUCCGGAUUUACUGGGUUUAAAGGGUGCGUAGGCGGAAAAUUAAGUCAGUGGUGAAAGCCCGCAGCUCAACUGUGGAACUGCCAUUGAAACUGGUUUUCUUGAAUAUAGCUGAGGCAGAUGGAAUAUAACAUGUAGCGGUGAAAUGCUUAGAUAUGUUAUAGAACACCGAUUGCGAAGGCAGUCUGCUAAACUAUUAUUGACGCUGAGGCACGAAAGCGUGGGGAGCGAACAGGAUUAGAUACCCUGGUAGUCCACGCCCUAAACGUUGAUUACUCGCUGUUGGCGAUAUACUGUCAGUGGCUAAGCGAAAGCAUUAAGUAAUCCACCUGGGAAGUACGACCGCAAGGUUGAAACUCAAAGGAAUUGACGGGGGCCCGCACAAGCGGAGGAGCAUGUGGUUUAAUUCGAUGAUACGCGAGAAACCUUACCUGGGCUUAAAUGUCAGGUGACCGCUGCCGAAAGGUGGCUUCCCUUCGGGGGCACU
rnacentral:rRNA from 1 species